AGAGUUUGAUCCUGGCUCAGAAUCAACGCUGGCGGCGUGCCUAACACAUGCAAGUCGAACGAGAAAGUGGAGCAAUCCAUGAGUAAAGUGGCGACCGGGUGAGUAACACGUGACUAACCUACCUCCGAGUGGGGAAUAACUCCGGGAAACCGGGGCUAAUACCGCAUAACAUCGCAAGAUCAAAGCAGCAAUGCGCUUGGAGAGGGGGUCGCGGCUGAUUAGCUCGUUGGCGGGGUAACGGCCCACCAAGGCGAAGAUCGGUAUCCGGCCUGAGAGGGCGCACGGACACACUGGAACUGAAACACGGUCCAGACUCCUACGGGAGGCAGCAGUGGGGAAUUUUGCGCAAUGGGGGAAACCCUGACGCAGCAACGCCGCGUGGAGGAUGAAGCCCUUUGGGGCGUAAACUCCUUUCGACUCGGACGAUAAUGACGGUACGAGUGGAAGAAGCACCGGCUAACUCUGUGCCAGCAGCCGCGGUAAUACAGAGGGUGCGAGCGU
rnacentral:rRNA from 1 species